GACGAACGCUGGCGGCGUGCCUAAUACAUGCAAGUUGAGCGCUGAAGGUUGGUACUUGUACCGACUGGAUGAGCAGCGAACGGGUGAGUAACGCGUGGGGAAUCUGCCUUUGAGCGGGGGACAACAUUUGGAAACGAAUGCUAAUACCGCAUAAAAACUUUAAACACAAGUUUUAAGUUUGAAAGAUGCAAUUGCAUCACUCAAAGAUGAUCCCGCGUUGUAUUAGCUAGUUGGUGAGGUAAAGGCUCACCAAGGCGAUGAUACAUAGCCGACCUGAGAGGGUGAUUGGCCACAUUGGGACUGAGACACGGCCCAAACUCCUACGGGAGGCAGCAGUAGGGAAUCUUCGGCAAUGGACGAAAGUCUGACCGAGCAACGCCGCGUGAGUGAAGAAGGGUUUCGGAUCGUAAAACUCUGUUGGUAGAGAAGAACGUUGGUGAGAGUGGAAAGCUCAUCAAGUGACGGUAACUACCCAGAAAGGGACGGCUAACUACGUG
rnacentral:rRNA from 1 species